AGAAGUUUUAGCAGGACAGCAGGGAUGUUGUGCUAUUAAAUAUAAAAUUGAAAGUUUUAAGGAUGAACACGAAAUGAAGGUCAACUUUCAUCUUUAAUAUUCAGUGCUUCUACUAUAGUAUCGAAACAGACCAGUAACUAGAAGCAAACAACUAUGAACACAGCUCUACGUAUGUAUAGCAUGUACUAAUGGUUAGUGAUACUAGAAUCACAUGAUCAAUUCAUACAA